AGCGAACGCUGGCGGCAGGCCUAACACAUGCAAGUCGAACGAAGUCUUCGGACUUAGUGGCGGACGGGUGAGUAACACGUGGGAACGUACCUUUCGGUUCGGAACAACUCAGGGAAACUUGAGCUAAUACCGAAUGUGCCCUUCGGGGGAAAGAUUUAUCGCCAUUGGAGCGGCCCGCGUCUGAUUAGCUAGUUGGUGGGGUAAUGGCCCACCAAGGCGACGAACAGUAGCUGGUCUGAGAGGAUGAUCAGCAACAUUGGGACUGAGACACGGCCCAACCUCCUACGGGAGGCAGCAGUGGGGAAUCUUGCGCAAUGGGCGAAAGCCUGACGCAGCCAUGCCGCGUGAAUGAUGAAGGUCUUAGGAUUGUAAAAUUCUUUCACCGGGGACGAUAAUGACGGUACCCGGAGAAGAAGCCCCGGCUAACUUCGUGCCAGCCGCCGCCGUAAAAC
rnacentral:rRNA from 1 species